rnacentral:rRNA from 1 species
GACGAACGCUGGCGGCGUGCCUAAUACAUGCAAGUCGAGCGAAUCAAUAGGAGCUUGCUCCUGUUGGUUAGCGGCGGACGGGUGAGUAACACGUGGGCAACCUGCCUGUAAGACUGGGAUAACACCGGGAAACCGGUGCUAAUACCGGAUAAUCCUUUUCCUCUCAUGAGGGAAAGCUGAAAGUCGGUUUCGGCUGACACUUACAGAUGGGCCCGCGGCGCACUAGCUAGUUGGUGAGGUAACGGCUCACCAAGGCGACGAUGCGUAGCCGACCUGAGAGGGUGAUCGGCCACACUGGGACUGAGACACGGCCCAGACUCCUACGGGAGGCAGCAGUAGGGAAUCUUCCACAAUGGACGAAAGUCUGAUGGAGCAACGCCGCGUGAGCGAUGAAGGCCUUCGGGUCGUAAAGCUCUGUUGUUAGGGAAGAACAAGUACCGGAGUAACUGCCGGUACCUUGACGGUACCUAACCAGAAAGCCACGGCUAACUACGUGCCAGCCGCCGCUGUAAGAC